AUGUACUUUCAUAUAGGGGAGAGCUGCAUGACAUGAUUUUUGAGCUGAAAUCAUCAUAAAUAGACUAAAUCUGAAUUCAUUUUCAUGAAUAAAGACAGGACAGUUUUUAUAGACAAAUACACGUUUUACUUUUGCAAAUUUAAAGUGCAAACAUGAAAAAUAACAAUACAAAGUGGCCAAAGUAGCGAACUGUCUUCUUGCACACAUCACAGUUCGCUAAGUUUUAAUGGCCAGUGAAACACAACGCUGCUCUUUCUCUCAGCCAUCAUGCGCGUGUGUGUGUUGCACUCGCGAGUCGCUGGCUGCUGCUGUCCUGCCCUGCUGGCUGCUGUCAGUCAGCUUGAUAAUCGGCGUUCAGACAGGGAGCCUCGAGGAGAAGAGGACAGCAGUGGAGAGAGAAGUAAAGAGCAUAUACUUGUGUUCGUCUGCACAUAGUUUUUUGAAGAAAUUGACGAGUAGAGGAGACGAGAAAAAAAGUAUAACAGUAUCGAUCCUAUUGGCUCUAGUAUCGAUAUUUUGAAACGUAACGUAAUAUCGGAAGUAUCGAUAUUUUGGGAUCGAUCCGCCCACCCCUAAUUUGAAGGCUGUCGGAGGAGCUGUAUGGCUGGAAAAAGAAGUGUUGAUAAAGGCGGAAUUCGGGCGAAUAACUACAAUUUCGCUGGAGCAGAGCUUCAUGUACAAACUCGACCACUACACACCAAAACGUAUUGCCCUGAUGAAGGCCAAGGGAGGAGUCCUCAGGACCAAGCUGAGGCCGUUCCUGGAAAAACUGAGUCAGAACCAAAGCAUUGACAUGAGGCGUGACUCUGUCAUCUGCAGCCUCAUACUAUACCUACCUUGGCGAAAAACAACAGGAUCUUUUUGAAGAUUGCCUGGAGGACAGCCGCAGUGAUGCAACUGAACACGUCUUGAAGAUCCUGGUUGUCCAUGGUGCCAAUGAAGAGGAUCCAGUUGAUGCAGCUCUCCUGCUUGAAGGCAGAGAGAUUAUGCCAGGAUGCGGCAGUACUGCCAAAGCAUGCACGCUCCUUAUGGGGCUGAUUUAUGCGUUAAACUUGGCAUACCCCCCAACACUGCGCUACACUUUUGAGGUGUUCCAGAAACUUUUUCUCGGACUGGAUGGGAUUAAGCUGACCCCAAAAGUGCAAGCUUUGAAUGUGAACCUGCUGUCUUAAAGACAUGGAAAAGCCGUCUAUUCAUAUCAAGUAUGUUCUUGCAUGAGGCCCUUUGUAUGUCGCUGCAAGUUUAAAUGUAUUUGACAAUUGACUUCAUUUCUGUCUGAUUUGAAACUUUGAGCUCGCAGACUUGGAGGAAGUUACACAUGUAAAGUAAUUGUCAAGCUUCUUCACAUGCAGACUUCUCCACAGCGUUUUCUCACCUGCCUCUGAGCUUUCAUGGUUCUGGCUCUUGGGCUUUGUGAAAGCUGCUGCUUAGAGAUCGUUUGCAUGCAGUUAUUAUAAUGUUAAUGU